rnacentral:rRNA from 1 species
UACGUAGGUGGCAAGCGUUGUCCGGAAUUAUUGGGCGUAAAGCGCGCGCAGGUGGUUCCUUAAGUCUGAUGUGAAAGCCCACGGCUCAACCGUGGAGGGUCAUUGGAAACUGGGGAACUUGAGUGCAGAAGAGGAAAGUGGAAUUCCAAGUGUAGCGGUGAAAUGCGUAGAGAUUUGGAGGAACACCAGUGGCGAAAGCGGCCACCUGGACUGCACCUGACGCUGAAACGCGAAAGCUAGGGGAGCGAACGGG